rnacentral:lncRNA from 1 species
AAAGAAAAAGAAACAGGAGAGAUGUGGAUGAGUGGAGCAUAUUACCCAUGCUUAUCAUCUUCAGGUUGACCUCAAACUUCAAUAGAAAAAGCAAGAAGGUACCUUUUUUUCCAGUGUGUUAACAGGUCCUGAAACUAAUCACUUUGAUGACUUACAGUUGCCUUUCACUUACUAUUCAUUUACUGACAGCUGACCACUGUGCUAAACAGGCUCUCACUAGCCUCCUCAGAUAUACUGCCUCUCACCUAGCCUCAAAAUGACUCUAUAAGAAGGAUAUUAACCUCAUUUCCCUACUAUGGAAAUUGAGAUUCGGAGAGACUAAGUAUCUUGUAUAGCUGGGAUCCAAAUCAAGUCUUUGUGAAUCCAAAGCUUAUAUUCUUUUCUAUGCCCUAAGGCACAUUUCAGAACUAAACUUCAUCAUGGAGCCUGUAAUGAUCUAUAUUUCCAACCAGUACCUAGCCUAAGGCCAGGCACAUAGUGGGCUCAAAGUGAACACUUGUUGAAUAAGUGAAUUCCAAAUGGGAUAGUUGACAAAUGAAGACCUGGGUUCAGCAUAAACAGUGUUUUGGGACAGCAGAGGAGGGCACAGCUGGCUGCUUAGAGAAAAUGGAGAAGUCUUUACAGAGGAGGAAGAUAGGGCCUGGGCAAAUAGGUAGUAGUAGAAAAAGACCAACAAUCCAGUAUUCCAAGAGCAAAAGAUACUAGCUGGCAAUUCACAGGACAAGAAAUCCAAAAGACCAUAAACUAUGAUAAGAGGUGCUCAAUAUCACUAAUGAUCAGAAAUAUGUAAGUGGUCUCAUACAUAGUGGAUGGGAAUACAAAUUGUAAAGGUAUUUGAGGAUAAGUAUUUAAUAUUAUCUAGCAAAAUUUUAAGUGAAGGCUGGGGAUGUAGCUCAGUGGCAGAAGCCCUAGGUUUGAUCCCCAGCACCACACAAAAAAGUGAGCUGUGUUCUUAAAUGUGUAUUUGCAAUUGUUGCAAAAUAUUCUGACAGAAAAAUGGAAAAUAAGUAUUCACCAAUAAGAAACAAAACAAACAAGGACAAAUCUGUAAUACUUUUUUUAUUUUUUAUUUUUUUGGUACUGGGGAUCAAACUCAAGACCUUACGCUUGCGAGGCAGGCGCCAGAACCACUGAGCUAAAUCCCUGGCCCUAUACUACUCUUGUUUUUUUUUAGGCUAUGCUUCUUGUAAAGAAAAAAAAAAGGAUGAAAUUGCAUCUUGGAUAGAUCAUGGAAAGAUCCAAGACAAUACAGUUAAAUGAAAAAGAAGGAAAAUUGUUGAAAUAGAUUUUGUACUCUUCUAAAGUCCAUCAAGGACCUAAUGGUGAGAGCAAGUAUUCCUUCAGUUCCCAAGGACUCUGCUGAUUCUGCUCGGCCUUGAGUGUAGCACCAAAUUAUUUUGCUGGAACAGGAAAAGCUGGAAUGUGUUGAGUCCUAAAUAGAGGAGAGAAGGUUUGGUAAGUGCCUGGCUCUCAGCCAGGACAUGCCCUCAUGCCCUCUGGAAAAGAGCUGAAAUGGAUCAGACACAUGACAACAUGGGGAGCAGAAGAGACUUGUGGAGCCUCCGGAAAAAUGAUGAAGCCACAGUAGAUGAACACAACUAGCUUUCAUGACCAGGCUCUUACUCAAUAGUUAACUGGAGGGUAUGUACAAAUGGGUAACUCCCAAAGGGAUCAGAAAUUAGACCCCAGAAUGUGAGAGAGUAUGGGCCUUCUGAAAUUGCCCAGUUCAAUGCUCUUAUUUUAUGAAUGAAGUGACUGAGGUCUAGAGUAAAGUGACUUUUUCCAGUGUUAUCUGGAUAGCUUUAGGGGAACCUGUGCAUAGUUCCCUUCCUCCACCCCAACAUAUGUAACAGUAUUUUCUAAGAUGAG